GCGCUUCAGUAGCACAUAUACUAAAAAUUGGAAUGAUACAGAGAAGAUUAGCACAGCGCCUGCCCAAGAUUGACAUGCAAAUUCCAGAAGUGUUCCAUAUUUUU
rnacentral:snRNA from 1 species